CUUAAUCAAAUUCAAAACACAAUAAAAAUACGAAUAAAUUUGUGCUCCACGAGCCUUAAGUGGUGGAGAAUGAGUAAGAUUGGAGCUUUCCAACCCUUACUCUAAAUAUUUUGGACACACGACAUUUGACUUUUUUGUCCGAAAUAUUCACCUCUGUCCAUAGUCUUUAGUGCAAUCUAAUAAAAAACAAUCUUUUUUCAAAAACCAUAAAAUAAACAUCAACUCAUCAAACCUUUUUUUGCGCCUUAGGGCAUCACUCCGAAAACCCCU
rnacentral:lncRNA from 1 species